rnacentral:snRNA from 1 species
CUUACCCAACCGAAAGGCCGA